rnacentral:rRNA from 1 species
UGGGGAAUUUUGGACAAUGGGCGAAAGCCUGAUCCAGCAAUGCCGCGUGUGUGAAGAAGGCCUUCGGGUUGUAAAGCACUUUUGUCCGGAAAGAAAUCCUUGGCUCUAAUACAGUCGGGGGAUGACGGUACCGGAAGAAUAAGCACCGGCUAACUACGUGCCAGCAGCCGCGGUAAUACGUAGGGUGCAAGCGUUAAUCGGAAUUACUGGGCGUAAAGCGUGCGCAGGCGGUUUGCUAAGACCGAUGUGAAAUCCCCGGGCUCAACCUGGGAACUGCAUUGGUGACUGGCAGGCUAGAGUAUGGCAGAGGGGGGUAGAAUUCCACGUGUAGCAGUGAAAUGCGUAGAGAUGUGAGGAAUACGAUGGCGAAGGCAGCCCCCUGAGCCAAUACUGACGCUCAUGCACGAAAAGCGUGGGGAGCAAAACAGGAUUAGAUACCCUGGUAGUCCACG